UACGUAGGGUGCAAGCGUUGUCCGGAAUUAUUGGGCGUAAAGAGCUCGUAGGCGGUUUGUUGCGUCGGCUGUGAAAACCUGAGGCUCAACCUCAGGCCUGCAGUCGAUACGAGCAGACUAGAGUGUUGCAGGGGAGACUGAAAUUCCUGGUGUAGCGGUGAAAUGCGCAGAUAUCAGGAGGAACACCGGUGGCGAAGGCGGGUCUCUGGGCAACAACUGACGCUGAGGAGCGAAAGCGUGGGGAGCGAACAGG
rnacentral:rRNA from 1 species